GACGAACCGUGCAAACGUUGUUCGGAAUCACUGGGCUUAAAGGGCGCGUAGGCGGGCAAGCAAGUCCGGGGUGAAAUCUUUCGGCUUAACCGGAAAAGUGCCUUGGAUACUGCUUGUCUUGAGGGAGGUAGGGGCAUGCGGAACUUCUGGUGGAGCGGUGAAAUGCGUUGAUAUCAGAAGGAACGCCGGUGGCGAAAGCGGCGUGCUGGACCUCUUCUGACGCUGAUGCGCGAAAGCUAGGGGGAGCAAACGGG
rnacentral:rRNA from 1 species